UUAAGCGACUAAGCGUACACGGUGGAUGCCCUGGCAGUCAGAGGCGAUGAAGGACGUGCUAAUCUGCGAUAAGCGUCGGUAAGGUGAUAUGAACCGUUAUAACCGGCGAUUUCCGAAUGGGGAAACCCAGUGUGAUUCGUCACACUAUCAUUAACUGAAUCCAUAGGUUAAUGAGGCGAACCGGGGGAACUGAAACAUCUAAGUACCCCGAGGAAAAGAAAUCAACCGAGAUUCCCCCAGUAGCGGCGAGCGAACGGGGAGCAGCCCAGAGCCUGAAUCAGUGUGUGUGUUAGUGGAAGCGUCUGGAAAGGCGCGCGAUACAGGGUGACAGCCCCGUACACAAAAAUGCACAUGCUGUGAGCUCGAUGAGUAGGGCGGGACACGUGGUAUCCUGUCUGAAUAUGGGGGGACCAUCCUCCAAGGCUAAAUACUCCUGACUGACCGAUAGUGAACCAGUACCGUGAGGGAAAGGCGAAAAGAACCCCGGCGAGGGGAGUGAAAAAGAACCUGAAACCGUGUACGUACAAGCAGUGGGAGCACGCUUCGGCGUGUGACUGCGUACCUUUUGUAUAAUGGGUCAGCGACUUAUAUUCUGUAGCAAGGUUAACCGAAUAGGGGAGCCGAAGGGAAACCGAGUCUUAACUGGGCGUUAAGUUGCAGGGUAUAGACCCGAAACCCGGUGAUCUAGCCAUGGGCAGGUUGAAGGUUGGGUAACACUAACUGGAGGACCGAACCGACUAAUGUUGAAAAAUUAGCGGAUGACUUGUGGCUGGGGGUGAAAGGCCAAUCAAACCGGGAGAUAGCUGGUUCUCCCCGAAAGCUAUUUAGGUAGCGCCUCGUGAAUUCAUCUCCGGGGGUAGAGCACUGUUUCGGCAAGGGGGUCAUCCCGACUUACCAACCCGAUGCAAACUGCGAAUACCGGAGAAUGUUAUCACGGGAGACACACGGCGGGUGCUAACGUCCGUCGUGAAGAGGGAAACAACCCAGACCGCCAGCUAAGGUCCCAAAGUCAUGGUUAAGUGGGAAACGAUGUGGGAAGGCCCAGACAGCCAGGAUGUUGGCUUAGAAGCAGCCAUCAUUUAAAGAAAGCGUAAUAGCUCACUGGUCGAGUCGGCCUGCGCGGAAGAUGUAACGGGGCUAAACCAUGCACCGAAGCUGCGGCAGCGACACUAUGUGUUGUUGGGUAGGGGAGCGUUCUGUAAGCCUGUGAAGGUGUACUGUGAGGUAUGCUGGAGGUAUCAGAAGUGCGAAUGCUGACAUAAGUAACGAUAAAGCGGGUGAAAAGCCCGCUCGCCGGAAGACCAAGGGUUCCUGUCCAACGUUAAUCGGGGCAGGGUGAGUCGACCCCUAAGGCGAGGCCGAAAGGCGUAGUCGAUGGGAAACAGGUUAAUAUUCCUGUACUUGGUGUUACUGCGAAGGGGGGACGGAGAAGGCUAUGUUGGCCGGGCGACGGUUGUCCCGGUUUAAGCGUGUAGGCUGGUUUUCCAGGCAAAUCCGGAAAAUCAAGGCUGAGGCGUGAUGACGAGGCACUACGGUGCUGAAGCAACAAAUGCCCUGCUUCCAGGAAAAGCCUCUAAGCAUCAGGUAACAUCAAAUCGUACCCCAAACCGACACAGGUGGUCAGGUAGAGAAUACCAAGGCGCUUGAGAGAACUCGGGUGAAGGAACUAGGCAAAAUGGUGCCGUAACUUCGGGAGAAGGCACGCUGAUAUGUAGGUGAAGUCCCUCGCGGAUGGAGCUGAAAUCAGUCGAAGAUACCAGCUGGCUGCAACUGUUUAUUAAAAACACAGCACUGUGCAAACACGAAAGUGGACGUAUACGGUGUGACGCCUGCCCGGUGCCGGAAGGUUAAUUGAUGGGGUUAGCGCAAGCGAAGCUCUUGAUCGAAGCCCCGGUAAACGGCGGCCGUAACUAUAACGGUCCUAAGGUAGCGAAAUUCCUUGUCGGGUAAGUUCCGACCUGCACGAAUGGCGUAAUGAUGGCCAGGCUGUCUCCACCCGAGACUCAGUGAAAUUGAACUCGCUGUGAAGAUGCAGUGUACCCGCGGCAAGACGGAAAGACCCCGUGAACCUUUACUAUAGCUUGACACUGAACAUUGAGCCUUGAUGUGUAGGAUAGGUGGGAGGCUUUGAAGUGUGGACGCCAGUCUGCAUGGAGCCGACCUUGAAAUACCACCCUUUAAUGUUUGAUGUUCUAACGUUGACCCGUGAUCCGGGUUGCGGACAGUGUCUGGUGGGUAGUUUGACUGGGGCGGUCUCCUCCUAAAGAGUAACGGAGGAGCACGAAGGUUGGCUAAUCCUGGUCGGACAUCAGGAGGUUAGUGCAAUGGCAUAAGCCAGCUUGACUGCGAGCGUGACGGCGCGAGCAGGUGCGAAAGCAGGUCAUAGUGAUCCGGUGGUUCUGAAUGGAAGGGCCAUCGCUCAACGGAUAAAAGGUACUCCGGGGAUAACAGGCUGAUACCGCCCAAGAGUUCAUAUCGACGGCGGUGUUUGGCACCUCGAUGUCGGCUCAUCACAUCCUGGGGCUGAAGUAGGUCCCAAGGGUAUGGCUGUUCGCCAUUUAAAGUGGUACGCGAGCUGGGUUUAGAACGUCGUGAGACAGUUCGGUCCCUAUCUGCCGUGGGCGCUGGAGAACUGAGGGGGGCUGCUCCUAGUACGAGAGGACCGGAGUGGACGCAUCACUGGUGUUCGGGUUGUCAUGCCAAUGGCACUGCCCGGUAGCUAAAUGCGGAAGAGAUAAGUGCUGAAAGCAUCUAAGCACGAAACUUGCCCCGAGAUGAGUUCUCCCUGACUCCUGAGAGUCCUGAAGGAACGUUGAAGACGACGACGUUGAUAGGCCGGGUGUGUAAGCGCAGCGAUGCGUUGAGCUAACCGGUACUAAUGAACCGUGAGGCUUAACCU
rnacentral:rRNA from 1 species